UGGAUUUUUCUUAUUAAAAUAAUGAGACUUGAUCGAAAGUUUUGUGACAAAUUACACAGCAAAAAAGAAGAAAUAAGAGGAAAAAAAAUUAGCAAUUUGUCCAUUACAGCUUCUGGUAGUGAGUGUGGUUGGAUCAGUGAAGAAAAGAAGAAGAAUACGGAGUCCCCCUAAUAAACUGGCAGAUGGAAGAAGCCAUGACUUGCAUCAUCUCUUCGGCGAAUCUCAGAACCUCAGGUCGCACAAACAUUGCCCAUAGACCCACCACUGCAAGCACUAUUUCUGUUCCCAUCCGAGACAAUUGACAGGCCAGAUACCCGUACACCUGCCAGAGCAUAUGCCAUCAGGGCGAGGGAGGACCAGGACUCACCAGAUGUUAUAGUUGGUACUUUAUCUAGCUUUGGUACUACAGGCAUGCAUUGAUAGAUCCUUGAUUGGCUACAUUGUUUUCGCUGGCAGAUAUGCACGGAUUCAUCACUUAUAUCCCUAGCAACAACCCUGAG
rnacentral:misc_RNA from 1 species